rnacentral:rRNA from 1 species
CCUACGGGCGGCAGCAGUAGGGAAUUUUCGGCAAUGGGGGGAACCCUGACCGAGCAACGCCGCGUGAACGUAGAAGUUAUUCGUAAUGUAAAGUUCUUUUAACAGGGAAGAAAGAUAAAUUUGACGGUCCCUGCCGAAUAAGCUCCGGCAAACCACGUGCCAGCAGCCGCGCUAAUACGUAGGGAGCGAGCGUUAUCCGGAAUUAUUGGGCGAAAGGGGUGCGUAGAUGGCAUAGUAAGUCUUUUGUAAAAAUGCUGGGCUCAAGCCAGAAGGGCAAAAGAUACUGCAAAGCUAGAGUAUGACAGAGGCAAGUGGAACGAGAGGUGUAGCGGUAAAAUGCGUAAAUAU